rnacentral:rRNA from 1 species
AACGAACGCUGGCGGCAGGCUUAACACAUGCAAGUCGAGCGAAGACUUCGGUCUUAGCGGCGGACGGGUGAGUAACGCGUGGGAACGUGCCCUUCAGUUCGGGAUAACCCAGGGAAACUUGGGCUAAUACCGGAUACGUGCGAGAGCAGAAAGAUUUAUCGCUGAAGGAUCGGCCCGCGUCUGAUUAGCUAGUUGGUGGGGUAAUGGCCCACCAAGGCGACGAUCAGUAGCUGGUCUGAGAGGAUGAUCAGCCACAUUGGGACUGAGACACGGCCCAAACUCCUACGGGAGGCAGCAGUGGGGAAUAUUGGACAAUGGGGGCAACCCUGAUCUAGCCAUGCCGCGUGAGUGAUGAAGGCCUUAGGGUUGUAAAGCUCUUUCAGCUGGGAAGAUAAUGACGGUACCAGCAGAAGAAGCCCCGGCUAACUCCGUGCCAGCCGCCGCCGUAACAC